UACGGAGGAUCCAAGCGUUAUCCGGAAUCAUUGGGUUUAAAGGGUCCGUAGGCGGUCUUAUAAGUCAGUGGUGAAAUCUCCCCGCUCAACGGGGAAACGGCCAUUGAUACUGUAGGACUUGAAUUAUUAGGAAGUAACUAGAAUAUGUAGUGUAGCGGUGAAAUGCUUAGAGAUUACAUGGAAUACCAAUUGCGAAGGCAGGUUACUACUAAUAUAUUGACGCUGAUGGACGAAAGCGUGGGUAGCGAACAGG
rnacentral:rRNA from 1 species